rnacentral:rRNA from 1 species
UGGCGACCGGCGCACGGGUGAGUAACACGUAUCCAACCUGCCGUCUACUCUUGGCCAGCCUUCUGAAAGGAAGAUUAAUACCCGAUGGCAUAGUUCUUCCGCAUGGUAGAACUAUUAAAGAAUUUCGGUCAUCGAUGGGGAUGCGUUCCAUUAGGUUGUUGGCGGGGUAACGGCCCACCAAGCCUUCGAUGGAUAGGGGUUCUGAGAGGAAGGUCCCCCACAUUGGAACUGAGACACGGUCCAA